rnacentral:rRNA from 1 species
CCUACGGGGGACAGCAGUGAGGAAUAUUGGUCAAUGGACGAGAGUCUGAACCAGCCAAGUAGCGUGAAGGAUGACUGCCCUAUGGGUUGUAAACUUCUUUUAUAUGGGAAUAAACUGUUCCACGUGUGGGAUUUUGUAUGUACCAUAUGAAUAAGGAUCGGCUAACUCCGUGCCAGCAGCCGCGGUAAUACGGAGGAUCCGAGCGUUAUCCGGAUUUAUUGGGUUUAAAGGGAGCGUAGGUGGAUUGUUAAGUCAGUUGUGAAAGUUUGCGGCUCAACCGUAAAAUUGCAGUUGAAACUGGCAGUCUUGAGUACAGUAGAGGUGGGCGGAAUUCGUGGUGUAGCGGUGAAAUGCUUAGAUAUCACGAAGAACUCCGAUUGCGAAGGCAGUUCACUGGACUGCAACUGACACUGAGGCUCGAAAGUGUGGGUAUCAAACAGGAUUAGAUACCCGUGUAGUC